UUGAAAGCGAUGCUGAUGUUAUGAUUGCUAAAAUUGAUGCUACUGCUAAUGAUAUUCCCCAGGGAACUUUUGAUGUCCAAGGUUAUCCGACUCUUUAUUUCAAGACAGCAAGUGGAAAGAUCUCGCAGUAUGAAGGUGACAGGACCAAGGAAGACAUUAUUGACUUCAUCCACAAGAAUCGGGAUAAAGCUGCGGACCAAGGUUCGAGAAAAGAGGAGCUAUAAGUAAAGGAAGAAUAGCAACAAGAGGAGAUUUUAAAGGUUCCCAAGGCAUUUGGCAUUGUGUUGGCUGCCUUACCAUUUACCAGGUCCAAUGAAGUGAGGAAACAUAGUUCGCGCUACAUUUCCAACCCCAAUCCCAUCCCACCCCCCGAACCCCUGCCAUCACAACCCCAAAAAUAGCCCCUUUUUACCAUGGUCUGUAACAAAUAUUUCUGAUAAGGUUUUGUUGAGGAUUAGGUAUCGUAGCUAUUCUCAAUAGUUUGAGUAGUGCAUCUCAGCGUGAUGAAGGUUUUUCUGGAGAAACUAUCAUCUAAGUUAUUUACUAAGCAAAGUGAAAACCCUUUAUUAAGCUUGUCUUGAAUGUCUUGCUUUUAGACUUACUUUUACUUAAGUUAGCUUUCCGGUUA